UCAAGCGUUGAAGGGCUUCUGACGGAUGCCUUGGCGUAGAGAGGCGAAGAAAGACGUGGCAAGCUGCGAUAAGAACCGGGGAGGCGCUAGCACCCUUUGAUCCGGUUAUUUCUGAAUGGGGAAACCCACCUUUACGGCUCUCUCAUUUGAAUGACUGGACGAAGCGAACAUACGGACCCGCGCAUACGGGAAUGUUUGUUUUAAUCGUUCAUCCGGUAACGGAACUCGGCCUUAGGGCCGGCAGUCAGAUGAGUUAGUUGUUUUAAGGUAUAAUAAACUGAAUACAUAGGUUUAUUAAGCGAACCCAGGGAACUGAAACAUCUCAGUACCUGGAGGAAAGGACAUCAACCGAGACUUCCCUAGUAGUGGCGAGCGAACGGGAACCAGGCCAGUGCUCUUGUGAUAUAAAGUCGAACGAUCUGGAAAGGUCGACCAUAGCGGGUGACAGUCCCGUAGGCGUCAAAUAGCAAGAGACUCGAGUAGGGCGGGACACGUGCAAUCCUGUCUGAACACGGGGGGACCACCCUCCAAGCCUAAGUACUCCUCUACGACCGAUAGUGAACAAGUACCGUGAGGGAAAGGUGAAAAGCACCCCGACAAGGGGAGUGAAACAGAUCCUGAAAUCGGAAGCCUACAAGCAGUCGGAGCCCCCAAGCGGGGUGACGGCGUACCUUUUGUAUAAUGGGUCAGCGACUUCAUGUGCCGAGCAAGCUUAAGCCGUUAGGUGUAGGCGUAGCGAAAGCGAGUUUGAACAGAGCGUCAAGUUCGUCGCAUGACGACCCGAAACUGGGUGAUCUAUCCAUGAGCAGGAUGAAGGUAGGGUAACACCUACUGGAGGUCCGAACCCAUAUCUGUUGAAAAAGAUUGGGAUGACUUGUGGAUAGGGGUGAAAGGCCAAUCAAACCCAGACAUAGCUGGUUCUCCGCGAAAACUAUUUAGGUAGUGCGUCGGAUGUAUUCCCUGGGGGGUAGAGCACUGGAUGGAUGCGGGCUGCGCGAGUGGUACCAAUUCUAACCAAACUCCGAAUACCCAGGAGAACUGUCCGGCAGACACACGGCGGGUGCUAACGUCCGUCGUGAAAAGGGAAACAACCCUAACCAUCAUCUAAGGCCCCCAAGUCAUGGCUAAGUGGGAAACGAUGUGGGAUUGCUUUGACAAUCAGGAGGUUGGCUUAGAAGCAGCCAUCCUUUAAAGAAAGCGUAACAGCUCACUGAUCAAGCGAUCCUGCGCGGAAAAUGUAACGGGGCUCAAGCCAUGCGCCGAAGAUAUGGGCUCGCAAGAGCGGUAGCGGAGCGUUCCGUAAGCCAGUGAAGGUCAAUCGCGAGGUUGGCUGGAGGUAUCGGAAGUGAGAAUGCUGACAUGAGUAGCGAUAAAGAGUGUGAGAGACACUCUCGCCGAAAGACCAAGGGUUCCUACGUAAAGCUAAUCUGCGUAGGGUUAGCCAGCCCCUAAGGCGAGGCCGAAAGGCGUAGUCGAUGGGAACCAGGUAAAUAUUCCUGGGCCAGUAUGAAGUGACGGAUGACUUAUAUUGUAAGGACUUAUUGGAUUGUUCUUGCAGUGACGUUGUCCCUGGAAAUAACUCAUACAGAGACUGUACCCGAAACCGACACAGGUGGUCAGGUAGAGUAUACCAAGGCGCUUGAGAGAACUAUGCUGAAGGAACUCGGCAAAUUACACGCGUAACUUCGGGAUAAGCGUGACUCACUCUACGCAAGUAGAUCUGAGUGGCACAGGCUAGGGGGUAGCGACUGUUUAUCAAAAACACAGGGCUCUGCGAAGCUGUAAAGCGACGUAUAGGGUCUGACGCCUGCCCGGUGCCGGAAGGUUAAAAGGAGUGGUGCAAGCUGCGAAUUGAAGCCCCGGUAAACGGCGGCCGUAACUAUAACGGUCCUAAGGUAGCGAAAUUCCUUGUCGGGUAAGUUCCGACC
rnacentral:rRNA from 1 species